CCUACGGGAGGCAGCAGUGAGGAAUAUUGGUCAAUGGACGCAAGUCUGAACCAGCCAUGUCGCGUGCAGGAAGACGGCCCUAUGAGUUGUAAACUGCUUUUGUACGAGGGCAAACUCAGACACGCGUAUCUGUCUGAAAGUAUCUUACGAAUAAGGAUCGGCUAACUCCGUGCCAGCAGCCGCGGUAAUACGGAGGAUUCAAGCGUUAUCCGGAUUAAUUGGGUUUAAAGGGUGCGUAGGCGGUCGGAUCAGUUAGGGGUGAAAUCCCGAGGCUCAACUUCGGAAUUGCCGCUGAUACUGUUCGGCUAGAGAGUAGGUGCAGUAGGCGGAAUGUAUGGUGUAGCGGUGAAAUGCAUAGAGAUCAUACAGAACACCGAUUGCGAAGGCAGCUUACC
rnacentral:rRNA from 1 species